UAUAGUUUUAGUCAUUAUUACAGAAGUCUGCCAGCAUGACAAAGAUGUUAUUCCAACAGCACCUACAGUUGUGUUGCAAGGUAACCCAGACGAUGUGAAAUGGGGUACAUCCAUAAUGCGGCAAAUCUCCUUAAACUGAUAUCUGUAUAGUUUGUCAUUAUUACAGAAGUCUGCCAGCAUGACAAAGAUGUUAUUCCAACAGCACCUACAGUUGGGUUGCAAGGUAACCCAGACGAUGUGAAAUGGGGUACAUCCAUAAUGCGGCAAAUCUCCUUAAACUGAUAUCUGUAUAGUUUUAGUCAUUAUUACAGAAGUCUGCCAGCAUGACAAAGAUGUUAUUCCAACAGCACCUACAGUUGGGUUGCAAGGUAACCCAGACGAUGUGAAAUGGGAAAUGUACAUCCAUAAUGGGGCAAAUCUCCUUAAACUGAUAUUUGUAUAGUUUUAGUCAUUAUUACAGAAGUCUGCCAGCAUGACAAAGAUGUUAUUCCAACAGCACCUACAGUUGUGUUGCAAGGUAACCCAGACGAUGUGAAAUGGGAAAUGCUGUUUCUCAUAAGAUGCAGCAAAAUCACUCUCAAACACCAAACAUCAGGCUGAACUUGGUGGCGAGGGGGACGGAUAUGAUGGCAACUCCCAACGCGACUCCGAAGAUACGGUGCGAGAUAGAGAAAGUAGCGCUGAACUGUGGCUUCUUCAGAGGAAGAUGAGGCGACAGUGGGCGGUUUGCUACAGGAGAUGAUAGGGGGCGGCUCGUGUGCAGGAGCCGAUUUCCAGGAGUAGACAUCUUUGGUGGCAGAGCAGCUAGAGGAGAAGAUGUGUAGCCCCUGGCUUGCUCAGGAUAUGAGCUUGAACUACCAAGAACACCUGAAAGAUGAAUGUGACAAGUUUAUAAGGGCCCCAAAUUUAUAAUAGGUAAGUAUAUGCAAUGAACUGCAAACAUUGGCUGUGUUCAGCCUGCAGCUGCAGAGCAGCACCAACAAAAAGAGAAACAGCAGCAGCCAUCGGAAGUAGCACUUCCUAACACAUCCAUUAUAUUCAAAAAGUACCUAAAAAACAACUCCCUAAAUCGAUUCCCUUUUUUUGGCAAAAUGGGCCCUCAAAACACUAUUGUAAAACAACUCCCUGUAAGCACUUGGUAAAUCUCCCUCCAACUCACAAAUAUAUGUCUCCAUCCUGCGCUGCACAUCCACCCAGGCAGCCCCCACCCCCACCCCUGUUUUCGAGCUUUAGGAAGCUAACUAUUAAAGGAAGAUAAAAAAAAGAGCUCCCUAUUCAUUUUGUUCAUUUGGCAUACUUCAUCGUUUACUAAGUGACUUUUAAGGAGCUCUUGGAGAUGCUCUAACCAGGAAAAAAAAGAAUACUCAGUAAUAAUAAUAUGGUGGACAUCUAAGUGCAUUUCAUCAAAGCGUAUAUAAAGAAACGUGACUGUAGUCUAUUAAGGUAUGUAUAUCAAACUAUGCAUCUAAAAUCAAAAUGAAAAUAACAUAUAUAGCUGAAUUCAUUAAUGCUACGAGGCAUGCUCAAAGUUUUGCCUCCAGGUAAGGAAGAGCAACUUCUGACUACAUAUUGUAAAAUGAUCGGAGAGAUAUGGCCACUAUUGGCAUCCAUUCGUGCUAAUGAUAUGACGGACCAGACCACAAAAUAGUGAUAUACUGCUACCUGUCUCAACAUAAGCCUCUAAGCUUCGAGAAUGAAAUGUUAUAGUGUCAUUUCCAGCCUCACACUACAGUAAUACAGCAUAUCCUGAACAACAUAAUGUAGUUGGAUUGAUUAUAGUGUGCUACAACUAUCUCCUAAUGGGUUUCAGUGUAACAUUGAUUAUUGUCUUGAAACUACAUGAGAGAAAACAUAUAACAAACCAGAGCAGUAGUUCUUACCACGGAGGGCAAAUGGAGUCUCUCUCAGGGGUGCAAACUGAGUGUUGCUGUUAUACUUCUCCAUUCCUGCACAGCCUGCACAAUAACCAAUAAUCAUGGAUUAGCAUCAGCACAGAAUCAUGGUUUUGGUAAAAGAAAAUUUGAAUACAAAUUUUUACCAAGCACAACAUAGAAAGAUUAAAUGAUAUCAACUAAAUUGGAGAAUACCAAAAUCAAUUGUUCCUAAUGAAGUUGGUGGUUUAGAAGAUCCAAGUAAAGUAUUUCAGCAAUUUCUAGAGUCUAGACCCUAGUCAAUCUCAAUGCUAACCAUUGUGACUAUGUACACAGAGCUAAAAAGGAUACAUAUGAUAGAAUAGAGAACAUAAAUUUGAGCAUCGUAGCAUACUGAAAUUUCUAGCCACUUUACUUAUGUUUAGAGAGCCUGACCGAAAAUCCAUAUAGACAUGCAUUCUGUGUAAGCAUGAGCAUGAGUUGUCAAAGUCACACUAUUGUAGCUAACUUACAUUUUCGAGCAAUCAUCAACAUCACUAAUGAAGCAAACUACACAGGUCUAUCCUACUAUGUCCUGUGGACUUAACUGCAUGAAGAGGAGAAACAUGCAAAACUUGAGUUGUGGACUAAUCAUCAACAUUCCUGUGGGGUGUUUUUAGUAUUUAACUCUUUCGUUCCAAGCAAAAGAGUAUUAUUUGCGAAUCAUUCAGUGCCAGAGCAUUGCUAUACAAAACUUUCAUAAUUAACUUGCAUGCUUGCCAAAGCGAUGUAAUGUUCCUUCUAUUGUCAGUAAGGUAGCACUACCUUGCUUCACUGGAUAGCUCAGUUUGUUCGGCAGAAGCUCUUUGUUGUUGUGAGACCUCUAGUGCCAGGUCCUAAUGUUCCUUCCUGGGAUCAAAGUGGAUGAAAACUCUGAUCCACCUAGUGUUGCUCUGGACCUUGCUGUGUUUUUUUUCUAUUGAUAUUUUGUUCAGUUCAAGUGAAUCCCCCCCACCCCCCAUAGUAAGGGCCCGUUUGGCAGAGCUCCCAGAGCUGAUUCUUUGUUGAAUCCAGCAGGAGCUCUGCCAAACAAUUUUUUAGAGAGAAGUGAUUCUUUGAUGAUUCCGUGAAAUGUUUCUCUAAAAUGAACUAGGCGGCUGUCAUGAUUUCAAGAGUUUAUGCUAAAGAAUCAAAGAGAAUCACUUUUCUCAGAGAAUCAGCUUCCAUAGAGAAUCAAAAUCAGAUGGAGCUCUACCAAACAGGCCCUUAUAAUCUGAAACUACUUAUAUGAAGAGUUGAUUACUUGAUUUUGUGUAAACAACUAAUGAUACUGUGGUUUAUCAGUGUUUCAAUCAUUAUCCAAAAGUUCACUGCUAUAAAUGUAGUUAUAAGUCACAUCAUUCAAUUUUAUUUGUAGUAAGAAAAUCACAGGUAACUCUAACGUUGUAUGUUUAUCCUCUUCACGCAUGUGAGUUAACAGGACUUAGUAGGAUAGAUAGGAUAGACAAUUAUAGUUUGUUCCAUUAGUGGUGUUGAUGAUUAGUGGAAAAUGUAAGCUAGCAACAAUAGUUUGACUGUAUGACACCUCAUGCCUAAGGUUUGCCAUCCUAAUUUUGUUUCUUUUAGCUAAGGGACCAUGGGUGCCAGGUGGUGUUCAACAUGCACGCCUAUACACAAACAAUGUGUAUGCAUACAUUGUGGUUGUGGUAACAACUUCAGCAACCUCAGCAAUAACUUUAAGCUGCUUGAUAGCCAAACCAUCCAUCUAACCAAUGAUAAAUUGCAAUUAGAAUUGGACAUAUACUUAUCAAAUUCACGUAUGAAAUGAAAAACAGCUUCAAAACUCAUCUGUGUUCUGUAUAGCAGCAUAGGUUCAGUUAACGUUGGAAAAAAAAAAUCAGAGCAGCUCAAAGUUAGAGCAGGACUUGAGAUUCCCCAUAUUGAAAAGGCAUCAAGACAAUAUACCUUGCACUUAAUUUGCGAUCCAUGCAACUAAGUGCUACUGAAUUAAGAGAGAACCAACCUAAUAAUAAUGGUAUAGAAAACUAACUUAAACGAAUGGUCUGUUCCAAUGCUAAAAAGCAGAACCUAUGCAGCGAGCGCCUGGUAUGUGAGAGGAAUCGAGCAGGGUUUACCUUGC
rnacentral:lncRNA from 1 species